rnacentral:rRNA from 1 species
UACGUAGGGUGCAGAGUCGAUUGAUCGAACUGGGCGUAAAGCGUGCGCAGGCGGUUUUGUAAGUCUGUCGUGAAAUCCCCGGGCUCAACCUGGGAAUUGCGAUGGAGACUGCAAGGCUAGAAUCUGGCAGAGGGGGGUAGAAUUCCACGUGUAGCAGUGAAAUGCGUAGAGAUGUGGAGGAACACCGAUGGCGAAGGCAGCCCCCUGGGUCAAGAUUGACGCUCAUGCACGAAAGCGUGGGGAGCAAACAGGA